rnacentral:rRNA from 1 species
UGAGGAAUAUUGGUCAAUGGGCGAGAGCCUGAACCAGCCAUCCCGCGUGCAGGAAGAAUGCCCUAUGGGUUGUAAACUGCUUUUAUACUGGGAUAAACCUACCCUCGUGAGGGUAGCUGAAGGUACAGUAUGAAUAAGCACCGGCUAACUCCGUGCCAGCAGCCGCGGUAAUACGGAGGGUGCAAGCGUUAUCCGGAUUUAUUGGGUUUAAAGGGUCCGUAGGCGGCCUGUUAAGUCAGUGGUGAAACCCUAUAGCUCAACUAUAGACCUGCCAUUGAUACUGAUAGGCUUGAAUGGGAGUGAAGUGGUUGGAAUGUGUAGUGUAGCGGUGAAAUGCUUAGAUAUUACACAGAACACCGAUUGCGAAGGCAGAUCACUAACUCUUGAUUGACGCUGAUGGACGAAAGCGUGGGGAGCGAACA